UACGUAGGCGGCCUGGCAAGUUGGGUGUGAAAUCCCUCGGCUCAACCGAGGAACUGCACUCAAAACUGCUGGGCUAGAGGGAGAUAGAGGUAAGCGGAACUCAGGGUGGAGCGGUGGAAUGCGUUGAUAUCCUGGGGAACACCAGUUGCGAAGGCGGCUUACUGGGUCUCUUCUGACGCUGAGGUACGAAAGCUAGGGGAGCGAACG
rnacentral:rRNA from 1 species